CGGGUGAGUAAUACAUCGGAACGUGUCUUCUAGUGGGGGAUAACUGCCCGAAAGGGCAGCUAAUACCGCAUGAGACCUGAGGGUGAAAGCGGGGGGAUCGCAAGACCUCGCGCUGGAAGAGCGGCCGAUGUCCGAUUAGCUAGUUGGUGAGGUAAAGGCUCACCAAGGCGACGAUCGGUAGCUGGUCUGAGAGGACGACCAGCCACACUGGGACUGAGACACGGCCCAG
rnacentral:rRNA from 1 species